rnacentral:tRNA from 1 species
UGGAGUGUAGCUCAGUGGUAGAGUACCUGCUUAGCAUGCACAGAAGCCUGGGUUCAGUCCCCAGCACCAG